rnacentral:rRNA from 1 species
AUUGAACGCUGGCGGCAGGCCUAACACAUGCAAGUCGAACGAGUGGCGGACGGGUGAGUAAUGUCUGGGAAACUGCCCGAUGGAGGGGGAUAACUACUGGAAACGGUAGCUAAUACCGCAUACCAUCGGAUGUGCCCAGAUGGGAUUAGCUAGUAGGUGGGGUAACGGCUCCCCUCGGCGACGAUCCCUAGCUGGUCUGAGAGGAUGACCAGCCACACUGGAACUGAGACACGGGCCAGACUCCUACGGGAGGUAGCAGUGGGGAAUAUUGCACAAUGGGCGAAAGCCUGAUGCAGCCAUGCCGCGUGUAUGAAGAAGGCCUUCUGGUUGUAAAGUACUUUCAGAGAGGAGGCGUUACUCGCAGAAGAAGCAUCGGCUAAAGAAGUGCCAGCAGCCGCGGUAAUUC